GCGGAGGGCUGGAUGGCCGCGGGGCAAGCCCCGAGGAAAGUCCGGACUCCCGUUGGCAAGGGUGCCGGGUAACGCCCGGCGGGGGCAACCCCAGGGAAAGCGCCACAGAGAAGAGACUGCCCUGCUGUUUGAGAAGGUUCGCCUUCGGCUUGGCAGGGCGAUGGUGAAACGGUGGGGUAAGAGCCCACCGCGGGACUGGCAACAGGACCGGCACGGCAAGCCCCACCCGGAGCAAUGCCAAAUAGGGGCCUCGCGCGGGGGUCGGUCGGGAAACCGAUACCGCCCGCAGGGACGCCAACGCCCGAGAGGCCCGGGUUGGCAGCUUGACCGCCGUGGCAACACGGUUGGCAGAGGAAUGGUCAUCCAGAGGCGAAAGCCUUGGACAGAAUCCGGCUUACAGGCUCUCCGCGCAU
rnacentral:RNase_P_RNA from 1 species